rnacentral:tRNA from 1 species
CAGGAGGUAGUUUAAUUAGAAUAUCAGCUUUGGGUGUUGAUGGCAGGGUACGAACUCUCCUCUUGA